GACAGAGGUGCCGAGCGUUAGGCGGAAUCACUGGGCUUAAAGCGUGUGUAGGCGGGUCGUUAAGUGCCUUGUGAAAUCCCACGGCUCAACCGUGGAACUGCUGGGCAUACUGGCGAUCUUGAGCCAGCUAGGGGCAGCCGGAACAAACGGUGGAGCGGUGAAAUGCGUAGAUAUCGUUUGGAACGCCAAUGGUGAAAACAGGUUGCUGGGGCUGUGCUGACGCUGAGACACGAAAGCCAGGGGAGCGAACGGG
rnacentral:rRNA from 1 species